rnacentral:rRNA from 1 species
UGGUGGCAUGCUUUAUACAUGCAAGUCGAGCGAAGGCUGGAUUUGUAGCAGAGGUAAUUGAUUUUCACUUGUGGAGAUCGAGAGUUUCUGUUAUUGCCGGUCUUAGCGGCGAACGGGUGAGUAACGCGUGAAUAAUCUGCCCUUGAAAUCGGGAUACCAUUUCGAAAGGAAUGCUAAUACCGAAUAACGUUAUGAAACACAGGUUUCAUAACCGAAGUUGAGUCUUCGGAUUCUUCGUUCAAGGAUGAGUUCGCGUCCUAUUAGCUAGUUGGUGAGGUAAUGGCUUACCAAGGCUAUGAUGGGUAGCCGGCCUGAGAGGGCGUACGGCCACAUUGGGACUGAGACACGGCCCAGACUCCUACGGGAGGCAGCAGUAGGGAAUCUUCCGCAAUGGGCGAAAGCCUGACGGAGCGAUGCCACGUGGAUGAUGGAGGCCUUCGGGUCGUAAAAUCCUGUCAGUGGGGACGAUGGUUGAUCUUCGGAUUGAUUGACGGUACCCGCAGAGGAAGCUCCGGCCAACUACGUGCCAGCAGCCGCGGUAAUACGUAGGGAGCAAGCGUUGUUCGGAUUUACUGGGCGUAAAGAGUGCGUAGGUGGCUAUAUAAGUCAAGGGUGAAAUCUCUACUUUCAAGGUAGAAACUGCCUUUGAUACUGUAUAGCUAGAGGACAAGAGGGGGAAAUGGAAUUCUGGGAGUAGCGGUGAAAUGCGUAGAUAUCCAGAGGAACGCCAGUAGCGAAGGCGGUUUCCUGGCUUGUUUCUGACACUGAGGCACUAAAGCUAGGGGAGCGAUCGGGAUUAGAGACCCCGGUAGUCCUAGCCCUAAACGAUGGGUACUAAGUGUGGGGGGAGCAUUACCCUCUGUGCUGAAGCUAACGCGUUAAGUACCCCGCCCGGGGAGUACGGUCGCAAGGCUGAAACUCAAAAGAAUUGACGGGGGGCUGAACAAGCAGUGGAGCACGU